rnacentral:rRNA from 1 species
CAGGUCUUGACAUCCCUCUGACCGGUCCGUAACGGGACCUUUCCUUCGGGACAGAGGAGACAGGUGGUGCAUGGUUGUCGUCAGCUCGUGUCGUGAGAUGUUGGGUUAAGUCCCGCAACGAGCGCAACCCCUAUCCUUAGUAGCCAGCAGUUCGGCUGGGCACUCUAGGGAGACUGCCAGGGAUAACCUGGAGGAAGGCGGGGAUGACGUCAAAUCAUCAUGCCCCUUAUGAUCUGGGCUACACACGUGCUACAAUGGUGACUACAAAGGGAAGCAACCCUGUGAAGGUGAGCAAAUCCCAAAAAGGUCAUCCCAGUUCGGAUUGUAGUCUGCAACUCGACUACAUGAAGCUGGAAUCGCUAGUAAUCGCGAAUCAGAAUGUCGCGGUGAAUACGUUCCC